UACGGAGGGUGCAAGCAUUGAUCGGAAUUACUGGGCGUAAAGGGCGCGUAGGCGGCUUUAAAAGUCGGAUGUGAAAUUCCGGGGCUCAACCCCGGAGCUGCAUUUGAAACUCUAAAGCUAGAGUACAGUUAGGGAAAACGGAAUUCCACGUGUAGCGGUGAAAUGCGUAGAUAUGUGGAAGAACACCGGUGGUGAAGAUGGUUUUCUGGGCUGUAACUGACGCUGAGGCGCGAAAGCAAGGGGAGCAAACAGG
rnacentral:rRNA from 1 species